UACGUAGGGGGCUAGCGUUGUCCGGAAUCAUUGGGCGUAAAGCGCGCGUAGGCGGUCAGGUAAGUCCGGUGUGAAAGUCAAAGGCUCAACCUUUGAAUGCCGCUGGAUACUGCUUGACUUGAGUCCGGAAGGGGCGAGUGGAAUUCCUGGUGUAGCGGUGGAAUGCGCAGAUAUCAGGAGGAACACCAAUAGCGAAGGCAGCUCUCUGGGACGGUACUGACGCUGAGACGCGAAAGCGUGGGGAGCGAACAGG
rnacentral:rRNA from 1 species